rnacentral:rRNA from 1 species
UACGUAGGGUGCGAGCGUUGUUCGGAAUUAUUGGGCGUAAAGAGCUCGUAGGCGGUGUGUCACGUCGGCCGUGAAAACCUGCAGCUUAACUGUGGGCGUGCGGUCGAUACGGGCAUCACUGGAGUUCGGCAGGGGAGACUGGAAUUCCUGGUGUAGCGGUGAAAUGCGCAGAUAUCAGGAGGAACACCAGUGGCGAAGGCGGGUCGCUGGACAGUUCCUGACGCUGAGGCACGAAGGUCAGGGGAGCAAACGGG